AUUGAACGCUGGCGGCGUGCUUAACACAUGCAAGUCGAACGGUAAGGCCCUUCGGGUACACGAGUGGCGAACGGGUGAGUAACACGUGGGUGAUCUGCCCUGCACUUUGGGAUAAGCCUGGGAAACUGGGUCUAAUACCGAAUAGGACUGCGCACUGCAUGGUGUGUGGUGGAAAGCUUUUGCGGUGUGGGAUGGGCCCGCGGCCUAUCAGCUUGUUGGUGGGGUGAUGGCCUACCAAGGCGACGACGGGUAGCCGGCCUGAGAGGGUGACCGGCCACACUGGGACUGGGAUACGGCCCAGACUCCUACGGGAGGCAGCAGUGGGGAAUAUUGCACAAUGGGCGCAAGCCUGAUGCAGCGACGCCGCGUGAGGGAUGACGGCCUUCGGGUUGUAAACCUCUUUCAGCACAGACGAAGCGCAAGUGACGGUAUGUGCAGAAGAAGGACCGGCCAACUACGUGCCAGCAGCCGCAGUAACAC
rnacentral:rRNA from 1 species